rnacentral:rRNA from 1 species
CGACGCCGCGUGAGUGACGAAGGCCUUAGGGUCGUAAAGCUCUGUUGUAAGGGAAAAUGAUGAUGGUACCUUAUAAGAAAGGACCGGCUAACUUCGUGC